GACGAACCGUGCGAACGUUGUUCGGAAUCACUGGGCGUAAAGCGCGCGUAGGCGGUUCGUUAAGUGGGAUGUGAAAUCCCCGGGCUUAACCUGGGAAUUGCAUUUCAAACUGGCCGACUAGAGUACGGUAGAGGGAGGUAGAAUUUCCUGUGUAGCGGUGAAAUGCGUAGAUAUAGGAAGGAAUACCAGUGGCGAAGGCGGCCUCCUGGAUCGAUACUGACGCUGAGGCGCGAAAGCGUGGGGAGCAAACAGG
rnacentral:rRNA from 1 species